rnacentral:pre_miRNA from 1 species
AUGACAGCGAGACAACCCGAGCGGAUUGAGCAAACUAUUUGUCUGUUAGCAAGUUUGUUCGCCCCGGCUCGAGUCGUCUGGCGUCAU